rnacentral:rRNA from 1 species
CAGCAGCCGCGGUAAAACGAGGGGGGCAAGCGUUGUUCGGAAUUAUUGGGCGUAAAGGGCGCGUAGGCGGUUUGGCAAGUUUGGUGUGAAAUCUUCGGGCUCAACUCGAAGUCUGCAUCGAAAACUGCCGGGCUUGAGUAUGGGAGAGGUGAGUGGAAUUUCCGGUGUAGCGGUGAAAUGCGUAGAUAUCGGAAGGAACACCUGUGGCGAAAGCGGCUCACUGGACCAUAACUGACGCUGAUGCACGAAAGCUAGGGGAGCAAACAGGAUUAGAUACCCCCGUAGUCCCUGUCUCUUAUAC